AACGAACGCUGGCGGCGCGCCUAAUACAUGCAAGUCGAGCGAGAAGACGUAGCAAUACGUUUGUAAAGCGGCGAACGGGUGAGGAAUACAUGGGCAACCUACCCUCGAGUGGGGAAUAACUAGCCGAAAGGUUAGCUAAUACCGCGUACGCUCCUUGGACUUCGGUUCAGGGAGGAAAGCGAUACCGUGGGUAUCGCGCUCUUGGAUGGGCUCAUGUCCUAUCAGCUUGUUGGGAGGUAACGGCUCACCAAGGCUUCGACGGGUAGCUGGUCUGAGAGGACGAUCAGCCACACUGGCACUGCGACACGGGCCAGACUCCUACGGGAGGCAGCAGUAAGGAUAUUGCGCAAUGGGCGAAAGCCUGACGCAGCGACGCCGCGUGGGGGAUGAAGGUCUUCGGAUUGUAAACCCCUUUCGGGAGGGAAGAUGGAACGAGCAAUCGUUCGGACGGUACCUCCAG
rnacentral:rRNA from 1 species